AGCCAUUUUUAUUAUCGUUUUCGUAGGUUGGUGUAUUGAGUUUGUUCAAUGGUUCCAUUUUCAUUAUGACAACUGAUAAUGUGAGAACAGAGAGAUUUUAGCUGUUUGAAGAAAGAAGACAUUCUAUCAAGGUUUCUGCAUAGCAACAACACACAUCCAAAGUCACAGAUGUUGAAGAAUUUGCAAACAGUGUGAGUGAAGAAAGCCUAGAAAAGAUGGAGUAUCUUAAUGCAGAUUUUAACGAAACUCUCAAGACUCUUUCAUGCAGUUCCCAUGGGGUUUUAUGUUUCAAAAAUACACAUUGGAUAACUUUACAUCCUAAAAAGGUAAUAAAAAAGAGAAGUAAUAC